GACGAACGCUGGCGGCGUGCUUAACACACGCAAGUCGAACGGUAAGGCUCCAGCUUGCUGGGGUACACGAGUGGCGAACGGGUGAGUAACACGUGGGUGACCUGCCCUGCACUUCGGGAUAAGCCUGGGAAACUGGGUCUAAUACCGGAUAGGACCGCACCGUGAGGGUGUGGUGGAAAGUUUUUUCGGUGUGGGAUGGGCCCGCGGCCUAUCAGCUUGUUGGUGGGGUAAUGGCCUACCAAGGCGGCGACGGGUAGCCGGCCUGAGAGGGUGGACGGCCACAUUGGGACUGAGACACGGCCCAGACUCCUACGGGAGGCAGCAGUGGGGAAUAUUGCACAAUGGGCGGAAGCCUGAUGCAGCGACGCCGCGUGGGGGAUGACGGCCUUCGGGUUGUAAACUCCUUCCACCAUCGACGAAGGGUUUCUGACGGUAGAUGGAGAAGAAGCACCGGCUAACUACGUGCCAGCAGCCGCGGUAAUACGUAGGGUGCGAGCGUUGUCCGGAAUUACUGGGCGUAAAGAGCUCGUAGGUGGUUUGUCGCGUCGUCUGUGAAAUUCCGGGGCUUAACUCCGGGCGUGCAGGCGAUACGGGCAUAACUUGAGUACUGUAGGGGAGACUGGAAUUCCUGGUGUAGCGGUGAAAUGCGCAGAUAUCAGGAGGAACACCGGUGGCGAAGGCGGGUCUCUGGGCAGUAACUGACGCUGAGGAGCGAAAGCAUGGGGAGCGAACAGGAUUAGAUACCCUGGUAGUCCAUGCCGUAAACGGUGGGCGCUAGGUGUGGGUUUCCUUCCACGGGAUCCGUGCCGUAGCUAACGCAUUAAGCGCCCCGCCUGGGGAGUACGGCCGCAAGGCUAAAACUCAAAGGAAUUGACGGGGGCCCGCACAAGCGGCGGAGCAUGUGGAUUAAUUCGAUGCAACGCGAAGAACCUUACCUGGGCUUGACAUAUACAGGAUCGCGCCAGAGAUGGUGUUUCCCUUGUGGCUUGUAUACAGGUGGUGCAUGGUUGUCGUCAGCUCGUGUCGUGAGAUGUUGGGUUAAGUCCCGCAACGAGCGCAACCCUUGUCUUAUGUUGCCAGCACGUUGUGGUGGGGACUCGUAAGAAACUGCCGGGGUUAACUCGGAGGAAGGUGGGGAUGACGUCAAAUCAUCAUGCCCCUUAUGUCCAGGGCUUCACACAUGCUACAAUGGUCGGUACAGUGGGUUGCCAGUCCGUGAGGGCGAGCUAAUCCCGCAAAGCCGGUCUCAGUUCGGAUCGGGGUCUGCAACUCGACCCCGUGAAGUCGGAGUCGCUAGUAAUCGCAGAUCAGCAACGCUGCGGUGAAUACGUUCCCGGGCCU
rnacentral:rRNA from 1 species